GGGAGAUUGGCGCGGGCGAAUCCGAUGCCAACCCGGUCAGGGCCGAAAGGCAGCAGCCGUAACAUUUUCGAUUCGGGUCGCGGCCAAUCUUCCACC
rnacentral:SRP_RNA from 1 species